UUUAUUAGCAGAUAAUUGCAUUAAAUUUAGAAUUUAAUUUCAC
rnacentral:tRNA from 1 species